AUGGACUGUGACUUCAGCCAUGGACUGUGACUUCAGACAAAUCACCCAGAAAUGUCCCUGGAAGAGGCCUGGGGCAACCACAACAGACAAAUACAAAAUGGAGGGUUUAGACCAAGGUUUAGACGAUGUUUAGACUAAGGUUGAGACACCUCCACACAGACUUUCUCUCUACGCAAGAAACGAUCUGAGCACCUUUUUUUGAUUCUCAAAAACAUUGAAUUUAACAUGAAGCCACUUUGUUAACCCACAAGGGCCUAAUCUAAUUAAAAGGGUUUGAGUUUG